rnacentral:rRNA from 1 species
GAUGAACGCUGGCGGCGUGCUUAACACAUGCAAGUCGAACGGUGAAGCAGAGCUUGCUCUGUGGAUCAGUGGCGAACGGGUGAGUAACACGUGAGCAACCUGCCCCUGACUCUGGGAUAAGCGCUGGAAACGGCGUCUAAUACUGGAUAUGAGCUGCGACCGCAUGGUCAGCAGUUGGAAAGAUUUUUCGGUCUGGGAUGGGCUCACGGCCUAUCAGCCUGUUGGUGAGGUAAUGGCUCACCAAGGCGUCGACGGGUAGCCGGCCUGAGAGGGUGACCGGCCACACUGGGACUGAGACACGGCCCAGACUCCUACGGGAGGCAGCAGUGGGGAAUAUUGCACAAUGGGCGAAAGCCUGAUGCAGCAACGCCGCGUGAGGGAUGACGGCCUUCGGGUUGUAAACCUCUUUUAGCAGGGAAGAAGCGAAAGUGACGGUACCUGCAGAAAAAGCGCCGGCUAACUACGUG